rnacentral:rRNA from 1 species
ACGAACGCUGGCGGCGUGCUUCACACCUGCAAGUCGAACGGAAAGGCCCUGCUUUUGUGGGGUGCUCGAGUGGCGAACGGGUGAGUAACACGUGAGUAACCUGCCCUUGACUUUGGGAUAACUUCAGGAAACUGGGGCUAAUACCGGAUAGGAGCUCCUGCUGCAUGGUGGGGGUUGGAAAGUUUCGGCGGUUGGGGAUGGACUCGCGGCUUAUCAGCUUGUUGGUGGGGUAGUGGCUUACCAAGGCUUUGACGGGUAGCCGGCCUGAGAGGGUGACCGGCCACAUUGGGACUGAGAUACGGCCCAGACUCCUACGGGAGGCAGCAGUGGGGAAUAUUGCACAAUGGGCGGAAGCCUGAUGCAGCAACGCCGCGUGCGGGAUGACGGCCUUUGGGUUGUAAACCGCUUUCGCCUGUGACGAAGCGUGAGUGACGGUAAUGGGUAAAGAAGCACCGGCUAACUACGUG